rnacentral:rRNA from 1 species
UACGGGGGGGGCAAGCGUUGUUCGGAAUUACUGGGCGUAAAGGGCUCGUAGGCGGCCAACUAAGUCGGAUGUGAAAUCCCCAGGCUCAACCUGGGAACUGCAUCCGAUACUGGAUGGCUUGAAUUCGGGAGAGGGAUGCAGAAUUCCAGGUGUAGCGGUGAAAUGCGUAGAUAUCUGGGAGGAAUACCGGUGGCGAAGGCGGCAUCCUGGACCGACAUUGACGCUGUGGCGCGAAAGCUAGGGGAGCGAACGGG